rnacentral:rRNA from 1 species
CCGGCGCACGGGUGAGUAACGCGUAUCCAACCUGCCCACCACUUGGGGAUAACCUUGCGAAAGUAAGACUAAUACCCAAUGAUAUCUCUAGAAGACAUCUGAAAGAGAUUAAAGAUUUAUCGGUGAUGGAUGGGGAUGCGUCUGAUUAGCUUGUUGGCGGGGUAACGGCCCACCAAGGCAACGAUCAGUAGGGGUUCUGAGAGGAAGGUCCCCCACAUUGGAACUGAGACACGGUCCAA